CUAUUUGCGAUAGACCGAUUAUCGGUCGGAGAAUCCCAACUUCUGAACCGUGAGUUUCGAGUUCCGACGAAACGCCGGUUCAGAUUGUGGCCAUAUGUAAAUACCACACUAUUGAUCUCUCUUCGAAUUUCGGCCUGGAGGUAGUGCGUGUAGGAUAAUCGAAAUAUCAAACCAGGAUAAAAAAUUGCUAUUUCCAGGGAAGAAUUGGGAUUUCCAGUGCGCAGCCAUAUCCACAAUCACUCAGCGGAGUCGGAACGAAUUUACCUGUCGUAACUUUGGGUGCAAAACUUUAUUCAGGAGUGAUGUAAUAGGACCGUUUGUGAGAAACCCCGUUUUGCUGUCACGAAUCGUCUGGCGCAUGACAUUUAGUAAUCGACCGUACGUCAGUCCAGGCUCAUUCUGCGCUGCUUGGAUAAAGCUGUACGUCAUUGCACCAGUGGCUGUACCGCCAGAAAGGGCCUGCACAUGUAUUAAGACAAGAAAAAACGACUUAAUUUCCCGACCGGGUAAUGCCACACAGAACAGCUCGCUUACAUCCA